rnacentral:rRNA from 1 species
GGGUUGUGAGGUUAAGCGACUAAGCGUACACGGUGGAUGCCUAGGCAGUCAGAGGCGAUGAAGGGCGUGCUAAUCUGCGAAAAGCGUCGGUAAGCUGAUAUGAAGCGUUAUAACCGACGAUACCCGAAUGGGGAAACCCAGUGCAAUACGUUGCACUAUCGUUAGAUGAAUACAUAGUCUAACGAGGCGAACCGGGGGAACUGAAACAUCUAAGUACCCCGAGGAAAAGAAAUCAACCGAGAUUCCCCCAGUAGCGGCGAGCGAACGGGGAGGAGCCCAGAGUCUGAAUCAGUUUGUGUGUUAGUGGAAGCGUCUGGAAAGUCGCACGGUACAGGGUGAUAGUCCCGUACACCAAAAUGCACAGGCUGUGAACUCGAUGAGUAGGGCGGGACACGUGACAUCCUGUCUGAAUAUGGGGGGACCAUCCUCCAAGGCUAAAUACUCCUGACUGACCGAUAGUGAACCAGUACCGUGAGGGAAAGGCGAAAAGAACCCCGGCGAGGGGAGUGAAAUAGAACCUGAAACCGUGUACGUACAAGCAGUGGGAGCACCUUCGUGGUGUGACUGCGUACCUUUUGUAUAAUGGGUCAGCGACUUAUAUUUUGUAGCAAGGUUAACCGAAUAGGGGAGCCGUAGGGAAACCGAGUCUUAACUGGGCGUCUAGUUGCAAGGUAUAGACCCGAAACCCGGUGAUCUAGCCAUGGGCAGGUUGAAGGUUGGGUAACACUAACUGGAGGACCGAACCGACUAAUGUUGAAAAAUUAGCGGAUGACUUGUGGCUGGGGGUGAAAGGCCAAUCAAACCGGGAGAUAGCUGGUUCUCCCCGAAAGCUAUUUAGGUAGCGCCUCGUGAACUCAUCUUCGGGGGUAGAGCACUGUUUCGGCUAGGGGGCCAUCCCGGCUUACCAAACCGAUGCAAACUCCGAAUACCGAAGAAUGUUAUCACGGGAGACACACGGCGGGUGCUAACGUCCGUCGUGAAGAGGGAAACAACCCAGACCGCCAGCUAAGGUCCCAAAGUCAUGGUUAAGUGGGAAACGAUGUGGGAAGGCACAGACAGCCAGGAUGUUGGCUUAGAAGCAGCCAUCAUUUAAAGAAAGCGUAAUAGCUCACUGGUCGAGUCGGCCUGCGCGGAAGAUGUAACGGGGCUAAACCAUGCACCGAAGCUGCGGCAGCGACACUUAGGUGUUGUUGGGUAGGGGAGCGUUCUGUAAGCCGUUGAAGGUGACCUGUGAGGGUUGCUGGAGGUAUCAGAAGUGCGAAUGCUGACAUAAGUAACGAUAAUGCGGGUGAAAAACCCGCACGCCGGAAGACCAAGGGUUCCUGUCCAACGUUAAUCGGGGCAGGGUGAGUCGACCCCUAAGGCGAGGCUGAAAAGCGUAGUCGAUGGGAAACAGGUUAAUAUUCCUGUACUUGGUGUUACUGCGAAGGGGGGACGGAGAAGGCUAGGCUGGCCGGGCGACGGUUGUCCCGGUUUAAGCGUGUAGGGGGAGUGACCAGGUAAAUCCGGUUGCUUAUCAACCCUGAGGCGUGAUGACGAUGCACUACGGUGCAGAAGCAGUUGAUGCCAUGCUUCCAGGAAAAGCCUCUAAGCAUCAGGUAACAUUAAAUCGUACCCCAAACCGACACAGGUGGUCAGGUAGAGAAUACUCAGGCGCUUGAGAGAACUCGGGUGAAGGAACUAGGCAAAAUGGUGCCGUAACUUCGGGAGAAGGCACGCUGGCGUUAGGUGAAAGGACUAGCUCCUGGAGCUGAAGCCAGUCGCAGAUACCAGCUGGCUGCAACUGUUUAAUAAAAACACAGCACUGUGCAAACACGAAAGUGGACGUAUACGGUGUGACGCCUGCCCGGUGCUGGAAGGUUAAUUGAUGGGGUCAGCCGCAAGGCGAAGCUCUUGAUCGAAGCCCCAGUAAACGGCGGCCGUAACUAUAACGGUCCUAAGGUAGCGAAAUUCCUUGUCGGGUAAGUUCCGACCUGCACGAAUGGCGUAAUGAUGGCCAGGCUGUCUCCACCCGAGACUCAGUGAAAUUGAACUCGCUGUGAAGAUGCAGUGUACCCGCGGCAAGACGGAAAGACCCCGUGAACCUUUACUAUAGCUUGACACUGAACAUUGAGCCUUGAUGUGUAGGAUAGGUGGGAGGCCUUGAAGUGUGGACGCCAGUCUGCAUGGAGCCAACCUUGAAAUACCACCCUUUAAUGUUUGAUGUUCUAACUCGGCCCCAUAAUCUGGGGUGAGGACAGUGUCUGGUGGGUAGUUUGACUGGGGCGGUCUCCUCCCAAAGAGUAACGGAGGAGCACGAAGGUUAGCUAAUCACGGUCGGACAUCGUGAGGUUAGUGCAAAGGCAUAAGCUAGCUUGACUGCGAGAGUGACGGCUCGAGCAGGUACGAAAGUAGGUCUUAGUGAUCCGGUGGUUCUGAAUGGAAGGGCCAUCGCUCAACGGAUAAAAGGUACUCCGGGGAUAACAGGCUGAUACCGCCCAAGAGUUCAUAUCGACGGCGGUGUUUGGCACCUCGAUGUCGGCUCAUCACAUCCUGGGGCUGAAGUAGGUCCCAAGGGUAUGGCUGUUCGCCAUUUAAAGUGGUACGCGAGCUGGGUUUAGAACGUCGUGAGACAGUUCGGUCCCUAUCUGCCGUGGGCGUUGGAAGAUUGAGAGGGGCUGCUCCUAGUACGAGAGGACCGGAGUGGACGAAUCACUGGUGUUCGGGUUGUCAUGCCAAUGGCAUUGCCCGGUAGCUAAAUUCGGAAGAGAUAACCGCUGAAAGCAUCUAAGCGGGAAACUUGCCUCGAGAUGAGUCUUCCCUGGG